UAUGCUACUAGGUACAAUAGCAUGGAAAUUGAGAGAACACCAAAGCGAGAAGAAAACUGGGAUAAAACUUAUGCAUCUGAUGAGAGAACAGAGAAGUCUCUGCAUUUAAAAAGGAAAGGAAUGACAUCUGUAUUUGUACUGUGUGUGCAUUGCUGUUUAAGUGUGCAGAUUUGUGUAGAGGUGUAUGUUUCCCUAGUAGCUCUAAAAAUACAUGAAAUGCUUCCCUCACUGCUCCCAUUUGUUUCUUUUUGGCAAUUUAUAUUUAACUUUUCUCUCUUUGUCCCUGUCUCCUUUCUCCUCUUUCAUAAAUAAUAUACUGCUUUUCUCUGUCAUUCUAAAGGAGUCACGGGGACUUUAAAUUGAUACAGCUGUAAAGGAGGAAAUGAGAGGCAAGGGAAUACACUGUGACUUUAGGAUGGAAAGAUAUGCAGUUUGACUGCAAAACGCAGAGACAGCUUUGAUUGAGGUGAAACAUAGGAAAAGUCCAAGAAGAAUCAGAGGAAACCAUUACAGAUCUCCUGGGCAAAGGGAAAACUUAGAGGGGAAAAUGUUUUUGCAGAGGGAUGAUGAGGAAACAGCUGAUUAAGACAGAGAGUGUCAAUCAUGUGGGGAAAUAGACACGGAACUGAGCCAGGUGGGAGUGCGGGCUCCUUGCAGGGCUGGAAUGAGGGCAAGGUUGGGCUCAGAUUUACAUACUGAUUCAUACCCACGCACUCAUGCACGCACAUGCACAUGAACACACACACAUUUUAAGGGUCCUCUGAAAGUGGCAACCGCACAUCCAUGUUCCCCUGGCAGUGGGCAAUGUGAACGGCAUAGGCUAUUCCCCAGUACCCAUACAUUAGACCUGAUGGACUUUCCCUGAGCACCUCCACCUUGCCUUGUCCCUUCAUGUUCUGUGGCUUUCCUGUUCAUAGCCUCUGAAGGUGAGGAGCCUCAGCCUGGGUUCUGCCAUCAGCAAGGACUCAUUUCUUUGCUCUCUAAGGCUAACUGUUGCUCACAUACUGGCCAGAAGCCAAAGAAACAAUUUCCAUGUGAAUGGUAUUUUAAGGCUAUCACUUUCACACUCCUCAAACUCUAGUAUUUUGGGUUUUGGAAGCAGCGCUGCAUACAGACAAGGGUUCUGGCUUCAUUUGCAACAGUGAGAGCUGCAGAAGGGCAUCUUGGGGGCGGAGGGCAUUUUUUUUUGAGGUUUCAGGAAGCACCACAGAGAAACGGAAGGUGAAUUAAUGGAAUGCCGGAAUUCUGUGGAGAAGCAUGGAGCAGACCUGCGACAUCCGAUGAAAUGUAUACAAAGGAGAAGAUUAUGAAACUGACUGAAAAUCGUCUAUAAAGUCGGGAGUAAAAGGAAUGACGUAUGGGAACUGGGGGAGGAGAAUGUCUCUUUAGUAAAUCAGAGACUGAGAAACUACCAAAGAAAAGCUGUUAGUUUUGUUUGUAUAACAUGAAUCUAGUCUAAGGGAAUUAAACCAAAAAGAAAUACAUGAUUCCUUUAUAUUUUAGUAGAAAAUUCUAAAGAGAAAAAACUAUGAAAUACAAGCAUUGUGCAUUUCAAUGUGCAAGCUCUAAAGAGAAAACUCUAAAAUACAAGCAUUGUGUAGGAAGGAAUAUGAACACUGACAAGAGGAAAUGAUAAAAGGAGAAAGAGUCUAUGUUUCAUUGCAGUCUGUGUGUAAUACAAUAUGACAAAAGACAGGGAAUAGGCUGGCUUUUGUGAACAUAAGAUCUCACUAUAUCUGAGACUUCUCACUAUAUCUGUAUUCUGUAAGUGACAUCGCUGCACAAGAGAGGAGAUUGGGUAAGAAAUAGGUCACAAAAUAUGUCUGCAUGCUGUAAGUUUUUUGGGGAAAAUACUAGGAAAAAAUUAAAUCUCACUAGAGGCAGUAAGUGAGAGUAAGUCCAAGACUAAGGUAAUACAUGAUACUACAAAAGAAAAAGUCAUACAAUAGCCAUUUUUCCAAGGAAGAUAUGAAAUGGUCAAUUAGCAUAUGAAAAGAUUCUCAACAUCAUCAGUUGUCAGGGCAAACCACAAUGAGAUACCACUUCACACCUUCUAAGUAGGCUGGAAUCCAAUAGUCAAAUAACAACAUAUUUUGAUGAGAAUGCAGAAAAAAUGGAGCACUCAUAUAUUGCUAGUGGAAAUAUAAAAUGGCAAAACCAUUUUGAAAAACUCUCUGGCCAUUCCUCAAAUAAUUAAAUAUUGAAUUAUUGUCUGACCCAGCAAUUCUACUCCUAGGUAUAUACCCAAGAGUAAUGAAAACACAUGUUCACAUAAAGCCUUGUACAUAAAUGUUAAGCAGCCUUGUUCAUCAUGAUAGUCAAAAGGUGGAAACAACCCAAAUGUCCAUCAAUACACAACAAUAAUAAGCAAAAUGUGGUAUAUCCAUAAAAUAGAAUAUUAUUGACCAUAAAAAGAAUGAAGUAUUAAUGUAUUCUAUCACAUGGAUAAAACUUCAAAACACUAUGCUGAGUUUUAAAAGUCAGCCACAAAAGAUUAGAUACUAUAUAACUCCAUUAAUAUAAAAAUGCAGAAUGAGGAAAUAUACAGAAACAAAGUAAAUUAGUGGUUGCUUAUGGCUGAUGGAAAAAAUGAGGGCUUGUAGGGUAAUAGCUAAAGGGUUGGGGUUUUCUUUUUCAGGUUGUGAAAAUGUACUAAAAUUGACUGGUGAUGUUUGCACAUAUUUGUGAAUAUAGUAAAAUCUGCUGAAUUGUACACUUUAAAUUAGGUGAAUUGCGUGGUAUGUAAAUAAUAUCUCAAUAAAACUCUGG
rnacentral:lncRNA from 10 species